UUUAUGGAGAGUUUGAUCCUGGCUCAGGAUGAACGCUGGCGGCGUGCCUAAUACAUGCAAGUCGAGCGAACGGACGAGAAGCUUGCUUCUCUGAUGUUAGCGGCGGACGGGUGAGUAACACGUGGAUAACCUACCUAUAAGACUGGGAUAACUUCGGGAAACCGGAGCUAAUACCGGAUAAUAUUUUGAACCGCAUGGUUCAAAAGUGAAAGACGGUCUUGCUGUCACUUAUAGAUGGAUCCGCGCUGCAUUAGCUAGUUGGUAAGGUAACGGCUUACCAAGGCAACGAUGCAUAGCCGACCUGAGAGGGUGAUCGGCCACACUGGAACUGAGACACGGUCCAGACUCCUACGGGAGGCAGCAGUAGGGAAUCUUCCGCAAUGGGCGAAAGCCUGACGGAGCAACGCCGCGUGAGUGAUGAAGGUCUUCGGAUCGUAAAACUCUGUUAUUAGGGAAGAACAUAUGUGUAAGUAACUGUGCACAUCUUGACGGUACCUAAUCAGAAAGCCACGGCUAACUACGUGCCAGCAGCCGCGGUAAUACGUAGGUGGCAAGCGUUAUCCGGAAUUAUUGGGCGUAAAGCGCGCGUAGGCGGUUUUUUAAGUCUGAUGUGAAAGCCCACGGCUCAACCGUGGAGGGUCAUUGGAAACUGGAAAACUUGAGUGCAGAAGAGGAAAGUGGAAUUCCAUGUGUAGCGGUGAAAUGCGCAGAGAUAUGGAGGAACACCAGUGGCGAAGGCGACUUUCUGGUC
rnacentral:rRNA from 1 species